UACGUAGGGAGCGAGCGUUGUCCGGAUUUAUUGGGCGUAAAGGGCGUGUAGGCGGCUUUCUAAGUCUGAAGUGAAACUCCAGGGCUCAACCCUGGAACUGUUUCGGAUACUGGAGAGCUUGAGUACUCUAGAGGGUAGUGGAAUUCCCGGUGUAGCAGUGAAAUGCGUAGAGAUCGGGAGGAACACCAGUGGCGAAGGCGACUGCCUGGGGAGAAACUGACGCUGAGGCGCGAAAGCCAGGGGAGCAAACGGG
rnacentral:rRNA from 1 species